GGGCGUUUUUCGGAAAUUCUGGGGCGUAAAGCGCACGCAGGCGGUCUGUCAAGUCGGAUGUGAAAUCCCCGGGCUCAACCUGGGAACUGCAUUCGAAACUGGCAGGCUAGAGUCUUGUAGAGGGGGGUAGAAUUCCAGGUGUAGCGGUGAAAUGCGUAGAGAUCUGGAGGAAUACCGGUGGCGAAGGCGGCCCCCUGGACAAAGACUGACGCUCAGGUGCGAAAGCGUGGGGAGCAAACAGGAUUAGAUACCCUGGUAGUCCACGCCGUAAACGAUGUCGACUUGGAGGUUGUGCCCUUGAGGCGUGGCUUCCGGAGCUAACGCGUUAAGUCGACCGCCUGGGGAGUACGGCCGCAAGGUUAAAACUCAAAUGAAUUGACGGGGGCCCGCACAAGCGGUGGAGCAUGUGGUUUAAUUCGAUGCAACGCGAAGAACCUUACCUACUCUUGACAUCCAGAGAACUUUCCAGAGAUGGAUUGGUGCCUUCGGGAACUCUGAGACAGGUGCUGCAUGGCUGUCGUCAGCUCGUGUUGUGAAAUGUUGGGUUAAGUCCCGCAACGAGCGCAACCCUUAUCCUUUGUUGCCAGCGGUCCGGCCGGGAACUCAAAGGAGACUGCCAGUGAUAAACUGGAGGAAGGUGGGGAUGACGUCAAGUCAUCAUGGCCCUUACGAGUAGGGCUACACACGUGCUACAAUGGCGCAUACAAAGAGAAGCGAACUCGCGAGAGCAAGCGGACCUCAUAAAGUGCGUCGUAGUCCGGAUUGGAGUCUGCAACUCGACUCCAUGAAGUCGGAAUCGCUAGUAAUCGUAGAUCAGAAUGCUACGGUGAAUACGUUCCCGGGCCUUGUACACACCGCCCGUCACACCAUGGGAGUGGGUUGCAAAAGAAGUAGGUAGCUUAACCUUCGGGAGGGCGCUUACCACUUUGUGAUUCAUGACUGGGGUGAAUCUACAGAGGGGGACACCCAUAAAAAGGGGGGAAAAAAAGAGAGGGGCUAUUUG
rnacentral:rRNA from 1 species